rnacentral:rRNA from 1 species
UGCAGUCGAGCGGUAGCACAGAGAGCUUGCUCUCGUGUGACGAGCGGCGGACGGGUGAGUAAUGUCUGGGAAACUGCCUGAUGGAGGGGGAUAACUACUGGAAACGGUAACUCAUACCGCACAACGUCGCUAGACCAAAGAGGGGGACCUUCGGGCCUCUUGCCAUCAGAUGUGCCCAGAUGGGAUUAGCUAGUAUGUGGGGUAACGGCUCACCUAGGCGACGAUACCUAGCUGGUCUGAGAGGAUGACCAGCCACACUGGAACUGAGACACGGUCCAGACUCCUACAGGAGGCAGCAGUGGGGAAUAUUGCACAAUGGGCGCAAGCCUGAUGCAGCCAUGCCGCGCGUAUGAAGAAGGCCUUCGGGUUGUAAAGUACUUUCAGCGGGGAGGAAAGUGUUGUGGUUAAUAACCACGGCAAUUGACGUUACCCGCAGAAGAAGCACCGGCUAACUCCGUGCCAGCAGCCGCGGUAAUACGGAGGGUGCAAGCGUUAAUCGGAAUUACUGGGCGUAAAGCGCACGCAGGCGGUCUGUCAAGUCUGAUGUGAAAUCCCCGGGCUCAACCUGGGAACUGCAUUCGAAACUGGCAGGCUAUAGUCUUGUAGAGGGGGGUAGAAUUCCUCGUGUAGCGGUGAAAUGCGUAGAGAUCUGGAGGAAUACCGGUGGCGAAGGCGGCCCCCUGGACAAAGACUGACGCUCAUGUGCGAAAACGUGGGGAGCAGACAGGAUUAUAUACCCUGGUAGUCCACGCUGUACACGAUGUCGACUUGUAGGUUGUGCCCUUGAGGCGUGGCUUCCGGAGCUAACGCGUUAAUUCGACCGCCUGGGGAGUACGGCCGCAGGAUGACACUCAAAUGAAUUGACUGGGGGCCGCACAAACGGUGGAGCAUGUGGGUUAAUUCGAUGCAACGCCGAGAACCUUACCUACUCUUGACAUCCUCAGAACUUUGCUUAAAUGCAUUGGUGGCUUCCUGGAACCCUUAAAAAAGUGCUGCUUGGCUGUCGUCAACUCCUGUUGUGAAAU